CCCUAUGGGGUGCAGCAGGCGAGAAAACUUUGCAAUGUGCGAAAGCACGACAAGGUUAAUCCGAGUGGUUUGUGCUAAACGAACCUUUUGUCGGUCCUAGAAACACCGAUGAAUAAGGGGUGGGCAAGUUCUGGUGUCAGCCGCCGCGGUAAAACCAGCACCUCAAGUGGUCAGGAUGAUUAUUGGGCCUAAAGCACCCGUAGCCGGCUCUGUAAGUUUUCGGUUAAAUCUGUACGCUCAACGUACAGGCUGCCGGGAAUACUGCAGAGCUAGGGAGUGGGAGAGGUAGACGGUACUCGGUAGGAAGGGGUAAAAUCCUUUGAUCUAUUGAUGACCACCUGUGGCGAAGGCGGCCUACCAGAACACGUCCGACGGUGAGGGAUGAAAGCUGGGGGAGCAAACCGGAUUAGAUACCCGGGUAGUCCCAGCUGUAAACUAUGCAAACUCAGUGAUGCAUUGGCUUGUGGCCAAUGCAGUGCUGCAGGGAAGCCGUUAAGUUUGCCGCCUGGGAAGUACGUACGCAAGUAUGAAACUUAAAGGAAUUGGCGGGGGAGCACCACAAGGGGUGAAGCCUGCGGUUCAAUUGGAGUCAACGCCAGAAAUCUUACCCGGAGAGACAGCAGAAUGAAGGUCAAGCUGAAGACUUUACCAGACAAGCUGAGAAGUGGUGCAUGGCC
rnacentral:rRNA from 1 species